GAUGAACGCUGGCGGCGUGCCUAAUACAUGCAAGUCGAGCGAACAGACGAGGAGCUUGCUCCUCUGACGUUAGCGGCGGACGGGUGAGUAACACGUGGAUAACCUACCUAUAAGACUGGGAUAACUUCGGGAAACCGGAGCUAAUACCGGAUAAUAUAUUGAACCGCAUGGUUCAAUAGUGAAAGACGGUUUUGCUGUCACUUAUAGAUGGAUCCGCGCCGCAUUAGCUAGUUGGUAAGGUAACGGCUUACCAAGGCAACGAUGCGUAGCCGACCUGAGAGGGUGGUAGGCCACAGGGGGACUGAGACAGCGCCAAGGCGCCGAGGGGAGGGAGCAGGCGGGAAUGUUCGGCAAUGGGCGGAAGCAUGACGGAGCAACGGGGAGUGAGAGACGAAGGUGUCAGGAUCGUAAUGCUCUGUUGUGAGGGAAGAAUAGAUAGGUACUAAACAGAAGUGUAAGUGACGGUAACUAAUAAGAAAGCCACGGCUAACUACGUG
rnacentral:rRNA from 1 species